GACGAACGCUGGCGGCGUGCUUAACACAUGCAAGUCGAACGGAAAGGCCCCUUUGGGGGUACUCGAGUGGCGAACGGGUGAGUAACACGUGCGUAACCUGCCCUUGACUUCGGGAUAACUUCAGGAAACUGGGGCUAAUACCGGAUAGGAAUCCUUGCUGCAUGGUGGGGGUUGGAAAGCUUCGGCGGUUUUGGAUGGACUCGCGGCUUAUCAGCUUGUUGGUGGGGUAGUGGCUUACCAAGGCUUUGACGGGUAGCCGGCCUGAGAGGGCGACCGGCCACAUUGGGACUGAGAUACGGCCCAGACUCCGACGGGAGGCAGCAGUGGGGAAUAUUGCACAAUGGGCGGAAGCCGGAUGCAGCAACGCCGCGGGCGGGAUGACGGCCUUCGGGUUGUAAACCGCUUUCAGCAGGGGCGAAGCUUGUGGUGACGGUACCUGCAGAAGAAGCACCGGCUAACUACGUG
rnacentral:rRNA from 1 species